UACGGGGGGGGUAAGCGUUGUUCGGAAUUACUGGGCGUAAAGGGCUCGUAGGCGGCUUGUUAAGUCAGGGGUGAAAUCCUGGAGCUCAACUCCAGAACUGCCUUUGAUACUGGCGAGCUUGAGUCCGGGAGAGGUGAGUGGAACUGCGAGUGUAGAGGUGAAAUUCGUAGAUAUUCGCAAGAACACCAGUGGCGAAGGCGGCUCACUGGCCCGGUACUGACGCUGAGGUGCGAAAGCGUGGGGAGCAAACAGG
rnacentral:rRNA from 1 species